UACGUAGGGUGCAAGCGUUAAUCGGAAUUACUGGGCGUAAAGCGUGCGCAGGCGGUUGGGCAAGACAGAUGUGAAAUCCCCGGGCUUAACCUGGGAACUGCAUUUGUGACUGCACGGCUAGAGUGUGUCAGAGGGGGGUAGAAUUCCACGUGUAGCAGUGAAAUGCGUAGAGAUGUGGAGGAAUACCGAUGGCGAAGGCAGCCCCCUGGGAUAACACUGACGCUCAUGCACGAAAGCGUGGGGAGCAAACAGG
rnacentral:rRNA from 1 species